rnacentral:rRNA from 1 species
AUUGAACGCUGGCGGAAUGCUUUACACAUGCAAGUCGAACGGCAGCACGGACUUCGGUCUGGUGGCGAGUGGCGAACGGGUGAGUAACAUAUCGGAACGUAUCCAAUAAUGGGGGAUAACGAGUCGAAAGAUUCGCUAAUACCGCAUACGCCCUACGGGGGAAAGCUGGGGACCUUCGGGCCUGGCGUUAAUGGAGCGGCCGAUGGCAGAUUAGGUAGUUGGUAGGGUAAAGGCCUACCAAGCCGACGAUCUGUAGCUGGUCUGAGAGGAUGAUCAGCCACACUGGGACUGAGACACGGCCCAGACUCCUACGGGAGGCAGCAGUGGGGAAUUUUGGACAAUGGGCGCAAGCCUGAUCCAGCCAUUCCGCGUGAGUGAAGAAGGCCUUCGGGUUGUAAAGCUCUUUCGCAAGGGAAGAAAACUUAGCCACUAACAUUGGUUGAGGUUGACGGUACCUUGAUAAGAAGCACCGGCUAACUACGUGCCAGCAGCCGCAGUAA